rnacentral:rRNA from 1 species
GACGAACGCUGGCGGCGUGCUUAACACAUGCAAGUCGAACGGAAAGGCCCUGCUUUUGUGGGGUGCUCGAGUGGCGAACGGGUGAGUAACACGUGAGUAACCUGCCCUUGACUUUGGGAUAACUUCAGGAAACUGGGGCUAAUACCGGAUAGGAGCUCCUGCUGCAUGGUGGGGGUUGGAAAGUUUCGGCGGUUGGGGAUGGACUCGCGGCUUAUCAGCUUGUUGGUGGGGUAGUGGCUUACCAAGGCUUUGACGGGUAGCCGGCCUGAGAGGGUGACCGGCCACAUUGGGACUGAGAUACGGCCCAGACUCCUACGGGAGGCAGCAGUGGGGAAGAUUGCACAAUGGGCGGAAGCCUGAUGCAGCAACGCCGCGUGCGGGAUGACGGCCUUCGGGUUGUAACCCGCUUUCGCCUGUGACGAAGCGUGAGUGACGGUAAUGGGUAAAGAAGCACCGGCUAACUACGUG